UACGUAGGGCGCAAGCGUUGUCCGGAAUUAUUGGGCGUAAAGAGCUCGUAGGCGGUUUGUCGCGUCUGGUGUGAAAACUCAAGGCUCAAUCUUGAGCUUGCGCCGGGUACGGGCAGACUAGAGUGCGGUAGGGGUGACUGGAAUUCCUGGUGUAGCGGUGGAAUGCGCAGAUAUCAGGAGGAACACCGAUGGCGAAGGCAGGUCACUGGGCCGCAACUGACGCUGAGGAGCGAAAGCAUGGGGAGCGAACAGGAUUAGAUACCCUGGUAGUCCAUGCCGUAAACGUUGGGCACUAGGUGUGGGGCUCAUUCCACGAGUUCCGUGCCGCAGCAAACGCAUUAAGUGCCCCGCCUGGGGAGUACGGCCGCAAGGCUAAA
rnacentral:rRNA from 1 species